rnacentral:rRNA from 1 species
CAGCAGCCGCGGGAAUACGUAGGGUGCAAGCGUUAAUCGGAAUUACUGGGCGUAAAGCGUGCGCAGGCGGUUCGCUAAGACAGAUGUGAAAUCCCCGGGCUUAACCUGGGAACUGCAUUUGUGACUGGCGGGCUAGAGUAUGGCAAAGGGGGGUAGAAUUCCACGUGUAGCAGUGAAAUGCGUAGAGAUGUGGAGGAAUACCGAUGGCGAAGGCGGCCCCCUGGGCCAAUACUGACGCUCAUGCACGAAAGCGUGGGGAGCAAACAGGAUUAGAUACCCGUGUAGUCCCUGUCUCUUAUAC